GAGAAUAUGGAGCUCACCAGAAUACAUUAAGAGCUUGCAGAACGCUCAGUGGCCAAGCUGUUGGAAGACUCCCCAGGACUUCUAAUCUGGCAGGAAGACUGACACAUUCCUAAAUGAGACUUUGAAUAAUUAUUUAAGAGACAUGUGAUUUUAAUUGUUACCUUUGGACUUUCCAGAUACUGCUAAAAUAACAAUUCUGCCAUUAGCACCUUAGCCCUAGGGUAGAAGCGAAUUUCACCUGGAGCAAACUUCCUAAUAUGGAGAGGGAAGGGAAAGUGCGGGGACAUGGAGAGAUCUGGGAUGGGAGGCAGCCCCAGUUCUGUCAUUAACUGGGGAUUUGGGAUGUUUGCCCACUGGGCUCCUGCUCUGUAAGAUGCACUUCAUUUAAGCCUUAAGCUGCUGGUCUUCUGGGAUCACUGAGAGCAACAAAAGGUACCAUGGAGGUCCAUAAAAGCCCCCAGCUCAGCCACAGCAAGCAGAGGAUGAAUAAAACAGAGACACAAUGGGAAACCAGCUGCAGAGAGGAGCUACCCUCUCUGCUAAGAGCUUCAGACACCUGCAGAGAUGUCCAGACUACCAGCUGCAGAGAGAAACAGUCCUCUCCAGGCAUCCUCUCUGGUGGGAGCUUGAUACUUGAUGGGACAACCUGCCUACAGAGAGGAGCCACCCACUGCAGGUCUCCUCUGAGCUGUCGUAACACUUAAUAAAACUCCUUUUCAUCUUGUUCACCCUUCA